ACGCGGUCUAAAUUCCAAGGCAUUCCACAUCUGGGAGCUCAAAAUGUUACAAGAUCAGCUCGAAAAGGCUGAAAAAUCGGACGUGAAAUUCGAUGCUCGUCUGUUGGGCUGCUCUUUCCGUCUCGUUGAGACUGGAGCAGCAGGAGGAGUGCAACUGGUGGAAGGAGAAUACUCACGUGACACACUAGACAAGCCUUUCUCGACGUUGCCAUGUGGUAUGCCUCCUGUCAUUGGAGGUGACAGAAAGUCAUCACUAGAACGUUUCUUGCUUCAACCUGAAAAGCUUCCCAUCCACGACCCAAAGAGAUCACACAAGUUUUGGCCACGAGAAAUUGAUUACACGUCUCUUUAUCAUAUUGAUGUUACAACUUCACACACAACAUUGUCAGUUGAACGAGACAAGAAGACAGGAAAACUGCUAAAAUACACUGAGGUGAACAUUCCUAAUCCGGACAGCAGUGCUCACACAUCAACAUCACUAUCCAGACCUCCUGGCUUGAUAUCAGACUCUAUCAAGGGAUUGUCAUCCAACAUUCCGUUUUGGCCUGGUGGGCUUGAUGAACCUGAUCUUAGUGUGUCAGUUGGUGCUGAAGCUGAAGACAUCGACUUUGAAAAUGACUUGCUGACUUGUCCACCUGGCUUUGCUGCUGGAAUAGAAAUUGAACAGAAGAAGAAACCAGCGGUGAUUGCACGACAAAUUGUCAAUGUUGCUCAGCUCAAUUUAGAUGACGUGCUUGCAGAGGAAUUCACUUUGGAUACUCUGGCACCAAGCGAUGAGGAGAAUGAAUCAGAGGAAGACGAGAGAGAAGUGGUAGCAGCGAAUGAAAACCUUCAUCGAUCAGAAAGUUUAGAAAAUAUCCUUCCAAAGAUCAGCAACGAAACAACAACAACCAAGUCACAACAAACAACUAAACCAAACUGGGUCAUUAAUAUCAACACAACAGAACCUGUCAACAACUUCCACAAGCUCAUACCACACAUGGCAUACGAGUGGCCAUUUGAGCUCGAUAUCUUUCAGAAACAAGCAAUUUUGUGCCUGGAACGCGGCGACUGUGUGUUUGUUGCUGCUCACACGUCGGCUGGUAAAACAGUGGUGGCUGAGUAUGCGAUUGCUUUGUCUACUAAACACAUGACGAAGACGAUUUAUACGUCACCAAUUAAAGCUUUGUCUAAUCAGAAGUUUAGAGAUUUUCGGAUGAGUUUUGGAGACGUUGGGCUGGUGACGGGAGACGUGCAGAUUAAGCCGGAUGCUGCGUGUCUUAUUAUGACGACUGAGAUUCUUAGGUCUAUGCUGUACAAUGGAUCUGAUGUGAUUCGUGACGUUGAGUGGGUUAUCUUUGAUGAAGUUCACUACAUCAACGACACGGAGCGAGGUGUUGUGUGGGAGGAAGUGUUGAUCAUGCUGCCUGAUCAUGUCAAUAUUGUGCUGCUGUCUGCGACUGUCCCAAACACUUAUGAAUUUGCUGACUGGAUUGGACACACAAAGCAAAAACCAAUCUAUGUGAUCAGCACUGCAAAGAGGCCCGUCCCUCUUGAACAUUAUCUCUACACUGGAAACAGCAGCAAGACAUGUGAUGAACUUUUUCUACUUGUUGAUGCUGACGGACGAUUCUUGACUAAAGGAUAUCAACGUGCUGUUGAUGCAAAGAAGGCAAGAGAGACGAAGAGUUCGGCCGGGUUUGGAACAAAGGGACCACUGCAUGGAGGAAAUUUUAAGCAGGACAAAAACAUCUUUCUUUCUCUUAUUAAUAAACUAAAGAAAGACGAUCGUUUGCCUGUUGUCGCCUUCACGUUUUCUCGUAAACGAUGUGAUGAGAAUGCAAGCGGUCUGACAACAAUUGAUAUGACGACGAGUGCAGAGAAGAGUGAGAUAACCGUCUUCUUCAGCAAAUCAGUGGCAAGAUUGAAAGGCACAGACAAACAACUACCACAGGUGUUGAGAUUGAAAGAAUUGUUAGCACGUGGUAUUGGAGUCCAUCACAGUGGCAUUCUACCAAUCAUGAAAGAGGUAAUUGAGAUGCUCUUUCAACGUGGCCUCGUCAAGCUCUUGUUUGCUACUGAAACGUUUGCAAUGGGUGUCAACAUGCCGGCUCGUACUGUGGUGUUUGACUCUACAAGGAAACACGAUGGGACAGCAUUGAGAAAUCUUCUUUCAGGUGAAUAUAUUCAGAUGGCUGGACGAGCUGGAAGGAGGGGAUUGGACUCGACGGGCACUGUCAUACUCUUGUGUAAGGGAGAUGUACCUGAGACGUCAGAAUUACACCAAAUGAUGUUGGGUCGUCCUACAAAGCUCGAGUCAAAGUUCCGGCUCACUUACAGCAUGAUACUCAACCUGCUGCGGGUGGAACAGCUGCGAGUUGAGGACAUGAUGAAGCGCAGUUUUGCUGAACUCGAUCUUCAACGAGACGCACAACAAGCAUCAAGUCAGCGGCAAGAACUGGAGCAGCAGAUUAAGGAUUUUCAAGAGAAGACUUUUCCAAUGUGCGACGACAUAGAAGAAUAUUACUUUGCUGCAUCGGAGUUGAAUGAGUUGAAGCAUUCACUGCAGUCACAGAUCACCAAUUCUCCACAAGCAGCCAAACUCCUCUCGUCCGGUCGUAUCAUCGUCAUCAACAACCAACACCACAACAACACGUUAGCCGUUCUCCUCCAACCCUCAACAUCCCGCAGUCGUCUGACAACAUCCGUGAGUGACACAUCAAAGUCAUACACAGUUUUGAUUCUUUGCAAUGAGAAACAACGAGACGUGACGUCACAGCAACCAACUACACAUGCAUCUCACUACACACCGUCAACUCCUGCUGUCAUAUCGGGACGAACGCCGUUGUUUUGUCCGGAUGGUCCGUGUGGUCACGUGGUGGUUGAUGUGAAGCCGAUUGAGAUCGCUGUGAUUACUGAUCGGAUGUUACGAGUGAAUGCGAGUUAUAUUAUUGAUGAUUAUAGGAAGAGGCAACAGACGAGGUUUAGGGACAAUCCACCAGGAAGGGAAUGCUCUAUUGCUACUCAAGAGCUUCUUCGGCUUGUUGAAACCAACCCUGAUGGUCUCGAAGCAAUAGAUCCAGUCAAAGAUCUCAACAUGAGAGACAUCGACUUCAUAGAGAAGUUCAGACGCUCACAGUUUCUAGAGCAAUCACUCCAGACAUUUCAGUGCGUUCACUCUCCGCAUUUUGUUGAAGCGUUUGAACAAACGAGAAGGAAGCAGAAAAUGUUGGAGAGUCUCAAUCGAUUGAAGUUUCUUCUCUCUGACGAGAGUCUUCAACUGCUGCCAGAAUAUCGACAAAGAGUUGAGGUGCUCAAGCGACUUGCUUUUAUUGACGUUGAUACAAAUGUUCAGUUGAAGGGUCGUGUGGCUUGUGAGAUUAGCAACCAUGAGUUGUUUAUCACUGAACUGGUUUUUGAGAACAUUCUUCGUGACCUGGACCCAACAGAAAUCGUCGCUAUUCUUUCUUGUUUUGUCUUUCAACAGAAACACACCAGUGAACCUCAACUAACAGAGACACUACAGAAUACAAAGGACCAGGUGAUCGAUCUCGCAACUAGAUUGGCUGGAGUGCAAAUGGAGUGCGAUCUCCAAAUCACCGUAGAGGAGUUUGUUGGAGAACUUCACUUUGGUUUAGUUGAAGCUGUUUACGAAUGGGCAAGAGGAAUGCCAUUUUCAGAGAUCACCAAUCUAACAGACGUUCAGGAGGGCAUCAUAGUGCGUUGCAUCCAGCGACUAGACGAAGUAUGUCGUGAUGUUCGUACGAUUGCAAGGAUGGUCGGUGACCCUGUACUGUAUGAGAAAAUGGACCAAGGCUCGUCGCUCAUCAAACGAGACAUUGUUUUUGCUGCAAGCUUGUACACUCAAUGAACACACUGUUGGUUUAAUUAACAAAUAAAGUUGAGAGCAAGAGAUUGAUAUCAAUGCAUUUGCUACUCUAUCUUUUGUGGUUGCUGUAAAACUGGUCAGUGUGCAGAGAGAAUGAUUGCACGUGAUCAAAUUUUAAUUAAUAGUUGCGGAUGGGAAUGUCACGGGACUGUUCCCUUUAUUGUAGACUGUCGGUUGUUAUGUGCGAAAUGAACAAAAAAUUAUUGUUUGAAGUUGUGUAUUAUGCGAUAUGGGAGUUGAUAUCAAUAGACGUUAUUUUGGGGACACUCUUCUGAUAAAAGCGUGUAGGAAUAAUCAGAAGGAAAUGGUUGAGUUUCUACUCACUCAAUCAGCAGAUGUUAAUAGGACUAACAGUUGUGGAUGGACAGGUUUGAUUGUGGCAGCAGAGAAGGGAUUUGUUGAUAUAGUGAAUAUACUUUUGAAGACCAAAGAUAUUAAUGUGAUGAAGAAGAUUGAUUUUUUUGGAUGGACAGCCAUCCAUAUUGCUGCAGCGAAUAAUCACGUGACCAUUGUAGAGAGACUUUUGUCUUGUUCUGUUCCUGUUGAUAUCAAUGAUAAUCUUGGUCGUACACCACUGUGGUAUGCUGCCCAUGGUGGUCGUGUGUGUUGUGUUGAUGUUCUCCUAAGACAUGGAGCGAGUCCCCGACAUAAGAGUAAUGCCUUAUUUGGAUCACCACUGGAGAUUUCCAAGGAAGAGGGUCACAGCGAUGUGGUUGAGAUGAUGGAAGAAGCCAUAAGAUGUAAGUGAAAGAAACAAUUAAUUUGUGUUUUUGUUUUUUCUUCUUUUGAUUUAAUGUGAUGAUUUUGGUGUGAGGUUAGAUUGAUAUUGUUGAAUGAUUUGCUUGUUAUCUUGUCUGUGGAGCUAUUGUAGUGAUGUGCUGCUUUUGAUCUUCUCACUUCUUUUCCUCUCAACAUUUGGGUUGAGGUGAUGUGUCUGCUUGUUUUAUUGUGUGUUGUGUGUGUGUGUGUGUCUGUCCAUUUGUCACUCAAAUCAGUUAAUGAGUUAAUAAUAUUUUCCUGUUGUCUUCUCCUCUACAUAUCUGUAUGUUUAUCUUUUUCCACACUCGUGUGUAAAUUAUUAUUUGUUUGUCUUUUGUUAAUUUUUAUCUGUUGGUCAUGUUGGACAAAUUGUUGUUGCUUGUUGUUUUAAUUAAAUUAUCUUUGUGUGUGUGUGUGUGUGUGUGUGUGUGUGUG